UACGGGGGGGGCAAGCGUUGUUCGGAAUUACUGGGCGUAAAGGGCGCGUAGGCGGCCCGCUUAGUCGGACGUGAAAUCCCUCGGCUCAACCGAGGAACUGCGUCCGAUACUGGUUGGCUUGAGUUUGGGAGAGGGAUGCGGAAUUCCAGGUGUAGCGGUGAAAUGCGUAGAUAUCUGGAGGAACACCGGUGGCGAAGGCGGCAUCCUGGACCAAUACUGACGCUGAGGAGCGAAAGCCAGGGGAGCAAACGGG
rnacentral:rRNA from 1 species